rnacentral:rRNA from 1 species
GUAAUUUAUAGAUAAAGAGUCGUGCCUGCCCAGUGAAUUUUUUUAACGGCCGCAGUACCCUGACUGUGCUAAGGUAGCAUAAUCACUUGUUUUUUAAUUGAAAGCUUGUAUGAAUGGCUUGACGCAGGUAAAGCUGUCUCUUUUAUAUUAAAUAGAAAUUAAUCUUUAAGUGCAGAAGCUUAAAUAAAACCAAAAGACGAAAAGACCCUAUCGAGCUUGAAAAUUAUAAUUAAAUUAAAUUUAUAGUAAAAUAAUUUUUAAUUAAUUUUUUUUGUUGGGGCGACAAAAGAACAAAUAAAGCUUCUUUUUAUUAUCUAAAUUUAUAAAUUUAUAGAUCCAUAAUUUAUGAUUAAAAGAAAUAGCUACCGUAGGGAUAACAGCGUUAUUUUUUCAAAG